UCUGGGCAUCACCUUGGCCCCGCGGCCCUACAAGAUCUGUGCAGUGCCUCGGUAGGGAGUGCGGCCACUGUUCUCAGAGGGAGAACUCUCAGCUUUAAAUGGCACAUUUUACACACUGUAUCAGCUGAAAAAGAUUGGUCAGGGCCCUUUUGGGCUUGCAGUCCAGCACUGUCAGUGAAUGAGGUACUCAGGCCUUAAUUAAUUCCAUGUCUGAUGGCCAUGCAUCACAGCUGUGGAUCAGUAAUGGAAGGGAGCAGUACAAAUAGUGACUGGAAACAGUUUCUAUUUUGAUCUUAGGAAAACUGUUAGAAGUACACUGAUGCCCUGUGACAUCUCCCUCUCUUGCACAUUAAUAAAUCCCAAUUGAAGCA